AACUAACAUUGGCGGCAGGCCUAACACAUGCAAGUCGAGCGAGGUUUAGAACCGAGCGGCGAACGGGUGCGUAAUACUUGGAAAUCUGCCCUAAAGUGGGGGAUAACUGGCAGAAAUGCUAGCUAAUACCGCAUACGUCCUACGGGAGAAAGCAGGGGAUCACUUGUGACCUUGCGCUAAUAGAUGAGCCUAAGUCGGAUUAGCUAGUUGGUGGGGUAAAGGCCUACCAAGGCGACGAUCUGUAGCGGGUCUGAGAGGAUGAUCCGCCACACUGGGACUGAGACACGGCCCAGACUCCUACGGGAGGCAGCAGUGGGGAAUAUUGGACAAUGGGGGGAACCCUGAUCCAGCCAUGCCGCGUGUGUGAAGAAGGCCUUAUGGUUGUAAAGCACUUUAAGCGAGGAGGAGGCUCUUUUGGUUAAUACCCAGGAUGAGUGGACGUUACUCGCAGAAUAAGCACCGGCUAACUCUGUGCCAGCCGCCGCUGUAA
rnacentral:rRNA from 1 species